rnacentral:rRNA from 1 species
UACGUAGGGUCCGAGCGUUGUCCGGGAUUAUUGGGCGUAAAGAGCUCGUAGGCGGUUUGUCGCGUCUGCCGUGAAAGUCCGGGGCUCAACUCCGGAUCUGCGGUGGGUACGGGCAGACUAGAGUGAUGUAGGGGAGACUGGAAUUCCUGGUGUAGCGGUGAAAUGCGCAGAUAUCAGGAGGAACACCGAUGGCGAAGGCAGGUCUCUGGGCAUUAACUGACGCUGAGGAGCGAAAGCAUGGGGAGCGAACAGG